rnacentral:rRNA from 1 species
CCUACGGGAGGCAGCAGUGGGGAAUAUUGGGCAAUGGGCGCAAGCCUGACCCAGCAACGCCGCGUGAAGGAAGAAGGCUUUCGGGUUGUAAACUUCUUUUGUCAGGGACGAAGCAAGUGACGGUACCUGACGAAUAAGCCACGGCUAACUACGCGCCAGCAGCCGCGGUAAUACGUAGGUGGCAAGCGUUAUCCGGAUUUACUGGGUGUAAAGGGCGCGUAGGCGGGGAAGCAAGUCAGAUGUGAAAACCACGGGCUCAACCCGUGGCCUGCAUUUGAAACUGUUUUUCUUGAGUGCUGGAGAGGCAAUCGGAAUUCCGUGUGUAGCGGUGAAAUGCGUAGAUAUACGGAGGAACACCAGUGGCGAAGGCGGAUUGCUGGACUGUAACUGACGCUGAGGCGCGAAAGCGUGGGGAGCAAACAGGAUUAGAUACCCGUGUAGUC